CAGAGGGUGCGAGCGUUAAUCGGAAUUACUGGGCGUAAAGCGCGCGUAGGCGGCUUUGCAAGUCGAGUGUGAAAUCCCCGGGCUUAACCCGGGAACUGCAUUCGAGACUGCAUAGCUAGAGUAUGGGAGAGGGAAGUGGAAUUUCAGGUGUAGCGGUGAAAUGCGUAGAUAUCUGAAGGAACAUCAGUGGCGAAAGCGACUUCCUGGACCAAUACUGACGCUCAUGUGCGAAAGCGUGGGGAGCAAACAGGAUUAGAUACCCUGGUAGUCCACGCCAUAAACGACGACAACUGGAUGUCGGGAGGGUCUGCCUCUCGGUGUCGUAGCUAACGCGUUAAGUUGUCCGCCUGGGGAGUACGGCCGCAAGGUUG
rnacentral:rRNA from 1 species